rnacentral:rRNA from 1 species
GACGAACGCUGGCGGCGUGCUUAACACAUGCAAGUCGAACGGAAAGGCCCUGCUUUUGUGGGGUGCUCGAGUGGCGAACGGGUGAGUAACACGUGAGUAACCUGCCCUUGACUUUGGGAUAACUUCAGGAAACUGGGGCUAAUACCGGAUAGGAGCUCCUGCUGCAUGGUGGGGGUUGGAAAGUUUCGGCGGUUGGGGAUGGACUCGCGGCUUAUCAGCUUGUUGGUGGGGUAGUGGCUUACCAAGGCUUUGACGGGUAGCCGGCCUGAGAGGGUGACCGGCCACAUUGGGACUGAGAUACGGCCCAGACUGCUACGGGAGGCAGCAGGGGGGAAUAUUGCACAAUGGGCGGAAGGCUGAUGCAGCAACGCCGCGUGCGGGAUGACGGCCUUCGGGUUGUAAACCGCUUUCGCCUGUGACGAAGCGUGAGUGACGGUAAUGGGUAAAGAAGCACCGGCUAACUACGUG